GACGAACGCUGGCGGCGUGCUUAACACAUGCAAGUCGAACGGACAGGCCCUGCUUGCAGGGUACUCGCGUGGCCAACGGGUGAGUAACACGUGGGUGAUCUGCCCUGCACUUCGGGAUAAGCCACGGCAACUGGGUCUAAUACCUGCUAUGACCUUCCAUGUAGCGCGGGGGGCGGUAAGAUCUGUCGGUUUGGGAUUCGCUCGCGGCCUAUCAGCUUGCUGGUGGGGUAAUGGCCUACCAAGGGGGCGACGGGUAGCCGGCCUGGGAGGGUGGACGGCCACAAUGGGACUGAGAUACGGCCCAGACGCCAACGGGACGCAGCAGUGGGGAAUAUUGCACAAUGGGCGGAAGCCAUAUGCAGCGGCGCCGCGUGGGGGAUGACGGCCUUCGGGUGGUAAACCUCUUUCGAAAGGGACGAAGCCUCGGUGACGGUACCUGUAUAAGAAGCACCGGCUAACUACGUG
rnacentral:rRNA from 1 species